UGUAUACCAUUAUCGGAUCGUUAAAUAACAUGGAUGCGCCCAGUUUGGACAACGUUUUGACAAAAGUUUUGCCAAAAUUUGGUAUAAAUGAUAUAAAGAAGGAGCAAAAGGAAAUUUAAGAGUGUUUAGUUAACAAGAAGAAGUGCGUGGCUGUACUCCCGACUGGUUUUGGCAAGUCACUGCCGUUUCAACUGUACCUUCCAGUUGGCCGGGAGGUUAUUGAAAACAGUUCUGACUGAAAAGUUUUAGUCUGUUUUCCCUUAGUAGCUCUGAUGCAGGACCAGGUGGAAAAACUCUCGCACAUUGGAAAUAUUACUGCUGCAUACAAAGGAUCAUCUUCCCCAGAGUGACGAUCAAAUCAAAGAGGGGUUGAUAGAUGUCAUUUUUGCAUCUCCAGAAACAAUGGUUGGUGAUCCCUAUUGUUUAAAGAAGUUGAACAUUAAGUUGGUUGUAAUUGAUGAGUUUCACACAAUAGCAAUUUGGGGCCAAGAUGAAGGAGACAGAAAAAAAGGCUUUUCGAAAAUGGUUUUCAAAUGUAGGUGAACUAAGAUCCCUCUUUUCCGAUGCUACAGUAUUGGCUUUAAGUGCAACUUACACUGUAAGCUUUAGGAAAAAAGGUCAUGAAAAUAUUGCAGCUAGCGGAGGACACAACAGAAAUUAAUUUAUCACCAAACAAGUCUAAUAUUAAACUAGUAUCUUCCAAAAUUAAAAAUUAAAUUGAAAUGGGAAUGACAUGGUUAGUAGAUGCAUUAGAGGAAAAAAGUCAGGACUUCCCACGUACACUUUUGUAUUGUUAAUCGAUAAAUGACACUUCCAAACUUUAUAAAUACAUUGUAACAGAAUUGCCACAUUGUGCCAAGUAUAUUGAGAUGUUCCAUUCUGAAACUCCAGAUGUUAACAAAAACAUCAUAAUUAAUGCAUUGAAGGAGGAAAGUAGUGUUUUGAGACUUAUUUUGUCAACCAGUGCCCUGGGAAUGGGUUUAGAUGUAAAAAAGUGUAGUGGAGUGGUAUUAUUUGGACCUCCAAAUAAUCUGGUAGAUUUGCUGCAAGAAAUAGGGCGAGUGGGGAGGGAUGGAAAUCCAUCAGUUGCCAUUAUCAUAUACAAUGGAUACCACUUGCAGAAGUUGAAACCGGAAGUUAAGGCAAUUCUUAAAGCUAAAGAUUGUAGGAGAAAGGAUCUGAUGUGUAAUUUCCUCAGAAAUUCAGACUUGGAUGAUUUGAUGAAGAAAGAAAGCAGGAAACAUUCAUGCUGUGACUUGUGUACUAAGUCUUGUAAUUGUGAAUCCUGUGAUAUGUUACCUCUUGAGAAGUUAUUUUUGUCAGAACAAGUUGUUGAGGAGCUCGAGGAGCAAGAAGAUUCUGCUGUUUCAGAUAGCGAUACUGAAGACUACAAUUUGUCUGCCUAUAAAUACUUCGAAGAUCUUGAUAUGGCUUUAUUAGAAAUACAAGAUGAUUAAAACAGUUGAUAUUUAUUUA